rnacentral:rRNA from 1 species
UACGUAGGGUGCGAGCGUUAAUCGGAAUUACUGGGCGUAAAGCGUGCGCAGGCGGUUUUGUAAGCCAGAUGUGAAAUCCCCGGGCUCAACCUGGGAAUGGCAUUUGGGACUGCAAGGCUGGAGUGUGGCAGAGGAGACUGAAAUUCCUGGUGUAGCAGUGAAAUGCGUAGAUAUCAGGAGGAAUACCGAUGGCGAAGGCAGGUCUCUGGGCUGACACUGACGCUCAUGCACGAAAGCGUGGGGAGCAAACAGG